GACGUAGGGGGCGAGCGUUGUCCGGAUUUACUGGGCGUAAAGCGCGUGCAGGCGGUCUGUUAAGUCCCGUGUUAAAUCCUCCGGCCCAACCGGAGAACGCCGCGGGAUACUGGCGGGCUUGAGGUCGGUAGAGGGUGAUGGAAUUCCCGGUGUAGCGGUGAAAUGCGUAGAUAUCGGGAGGAACGCCAGUGGCGAAGGCGAUCACCUGGGCCGUACCUGACGUUGAGACGCGAAAGCUGGGGGAGCAAACGGG
rnacentral:rRNA from 1 species